AGGCUUGCGAGGGCGCAUCUAGCCCGUACGCCCGCGUAAGUGGCCUUCCGCCCGCGCUGGGACGUGGCGCUGGCCCGCCGGCGGGCCAGCACCGGUGCAAGCCACAGGCGCCCGGGCGGCGGCGCAGAAGUGGCGUAGAGCCCUACGCCGACGCAGGGGGGGGCGGGGAGCAAGGCGGGGUCAGAGUUAGUCCGCUCCCUAAGCUCCUCCAGAAGCGGGAACGCCCACAGCGGCGCAAAAAAGCUACGCCACGGAAAAAGAAGGCGUAGCCCAUAGGCGUCCAUGGAACGGCGAAAAAUCAGCCCCCUCUCUGAGCGCCUCGCCCCGCCCCUAUGGCCCGAAGGAGCAUAGGAUGAGAACUAUCCCGGGGACCAAUCAGCAUGCGCGCCCGGCGUGGACGAGCCCCCCUCUCUGCACCCAAUCACCUGCGACCGCGCCCUACAAAACAUCCGGCCAGCGCCACCCAAACCCCCAGGUGCCCUGACUCUGGCGCUCCCACCUGGUGAUGACCGACGGAGCGCUGACAGGCACAUCCAGGGCAUGGCUGCUCCCCCGCGCCCCGCCCUCCCCAAACAUCUCUGACGGACGGUUGGCUGCAGCCCAGGAAGCACCGUCGCGCCGCGGCCUGCAUCCCAGCCCCGCCCCUCCGAGCGGGAAGGAGGGCUGUGUGGAAUGCUCCAGCUCCCUCGCCAGCCUAAACGCAAGCCCGCUCUUUCCAGUGCAAUAAAACGAGAUGUACAACAA